UACGGAGGGUGCAAGCGUUAAUCGGAAUUACUGGGCGUAAAGCGCACGUAGGUGGUUUGUUAAGCUAGAUGUGAAAGCCCCGGGCUCAACCUGGGAAUUGCAUUUAGAACUGGCAAGCUAGAGUAGGGUAGAGGGGUGUGGAAUUCCAGGUGUAGCGGUGAAAUGCGUAGAUAUCUGGAGGAACAUCAGUGGCGAAGGCGACUCACUGGGCCAUUACUGACACUGAGGUGCGAAAGCGUGGGUAGCAAACAGG
rnacentral:rRNA from 1 species